ACAGAUUAUCAGGUUAUUUUUAGUUGUAAUUUAUUUUUUAUUGUCUAUUUAUCAAAACUUAUUUAACCCUAUUUUAAAAAUGGACUAGUCAUGAUUGUUAGUUCAUACCUGGCAUCUUGAUAGCAAAUCAUUUCAACUUUAAUUAAACCAGGAUUUUUAUGAUGCUGGGAAUCAGUUAACUGAAACUGCAGAACGAUCGUCAACAUUGAAAGGCUUCGAUUACCGGUUAGCUGAGCUGCAAUAUGGGAGAUCAAGUCUUGGACAUCGAUUUGGUUGUCAAGAUACUGAGGCGGCAAAAAGAGCUUAGGCUUUCCUCUAACAUAAGCAGAAAAUACGAUGAACGCCUCGACUUCACGCAACCGGAUGUGCUAUGCGAAUUACAG
rnacentral:lncRNA from 1 species